AUCUGACUACUCUAGGUACCUCAGAUGAGCGGAAUUAUGCAGUAUUUGUCCUUUUGUGUGUACAACUAAUUUGACAGGCAGUAUGAUAAGGAACAAUCUGAAUGACAUGUAAACAGGAGGGGGUAAAUUCCAAGCACAGCCUGAAUAAGAAGUACAACUCAUUUCCCGUAACCCAGAUGCCUUUUUAACACAUCUAUGUGAAACCAGGUGCUGUUCCCAAAGGAGAAAACACUGCCCUCCAGUGGUCUUCAAUGAAGAAAUGGAAAUAGUUUCAGGUGGAAACCAGGCUUCUUGGAAGACUUCAAACUAUGCCAAAUGGUCUGAUUUCACCAUAGAGAUUCUUUGCUGAAGAAUGCAGCUGUAUUAAAGGAAGAAAGAAAACCAAGCUACAGCUCCUUAUAAUUCAACAAGCAUUUAAAAGGUUUAUAAAAUGGUGCAAUUAUGUAUUUAAGCUGCUUCAACACAAGUUCUUGCCUUUCACUCCCACCCUGUGGCUUACACUGGUAUUACAUCUAUUCUGACAUUUAAAAAUCAACAUUAAAGAACAUGUUGUAAUAAUGUAUUCUAUGGCUUAAAUAUUUAAAAAAUUUUACACCAUACCUAGAAAGUGUUGUGUACUUUCUAAAGCUUAUAAACUGACAAGUCCAGAGAUCUGAAGAAUCCUAAUACCGAAUCAUAAGUUAUAAUUCAUCCAAAAUUGUAUAGUUCUUAAAUUUCAAAUCCAAACCAGUGGAUAUCUAUCUUUAGUGACAUUUAGAUUUUAUUUAAUUAAGGUCAUUGUAGCUAUUAUAAAUGGAAGACUUUACUUCAUUGUGUCUUAUCACUUAAGUACCUCACUCUUGCUUUUCAAAAUAUUUCUUUCAAUUUCUUCAGUCUUAUUUGUUCUCUAAGACAAAGACUUGAUUUCAGUUUGUUUUUCUUAAAAUUAAUAUCUUCUUCAAUUUAUUUCCCAGUUUUUUCUAAAUAAAUACUUUAAAUAUAUAUAGAGUAUUAUUUUUAUAGUAUCUCAAAAUUAGUAAAAUAAAAUCUUGCCAAUACAAACAAUUUGUGAUUUUAUACAUUAUAUUGUCAGGCCAAAAUAAAAUAAAGAUUAUUUUGUUGCUG